rnacentral:rRNA from 1 species
GACGUAGGGCGCGAGCGUUGUCCGGAUUUAUUGGGCGUAAAGAGCGCGCAGGCGGUCGUUCAAGUCGCGUGUGAAAGCCCCCGGCUCAACUGGGGAGGGUCACGCGAUACUGAUCGACUCGAAGGCAGGAGAGGGUAGUGGAAUUCCUGGUGUAGCGGUGAAAUGCGCAGAUAAUCAGGAGGAACACCGGUGGCGAAGGCGGGUCUCUGGGCCGUAACUGACGCUGAGGAGCGAAAGCAUGGGGAACGAACAGG